AGCACUGGACCUUGUCAAGAAGUUGUUGGUAGUGGAUCCAAAGGCACGUUUUAUGAGAGAAGAAGCCUUAAGACACCGUGGCUUCAGGAUGAAGACAUGAAGAGAAAGUUUCAAGAUCUUCUGUCUGAGGAAAAUGAGUCCACAGCUCUAUCUCAGGUUCUAGCCCAGCCUUCUACUAGUCGAAAGCGGCCUCAUGAAGGGGAAGCCGAGGGUGCCGAGACCACAAAGCGCCCGGCUGUGUUGUGAACUCCGUGGUUUGAACAUGAAAGAAAUGUACCUUCUUUCAUUCUGUCAUUUUUCUUUUCUUUGAGUCUGUUUUUUAUAGUUUGUAUUUUAAUUAUGGGAAUAAUUGCUUUUUCACAGUCACUGAUGUACAAUUAAAAACCUAAUGGAACCUGGGCUUUGUGCUUCUGCUUGAUAAUCAGUUCUUUAGUUGAAUGGCUUUAUUAUUUAUUUAUUUGGGACGGAGUCUCACUCUGUUGCCCAGCCUGAA
rnacentral:lncRNA from 10 species